rnacentral:rRNA from 1 species
ACGCACGCUGGCGGCGUGCUUCACCCCUGCCAGUCGCACGCUGAAGCUCAGCUUUUGUUGGGUGGAUGAGUGGCGAACGGGUGAGUAACACGUGAGUAACCUGCCUCCUUCUUUGGGAUAACGCCCGGAAACGGGUGCUAAUACUGGAUAUUCACUGGUCUUCGCAUGGGGGUUGGUGGAAAGGGUUUUUCUGGUGGGGGAUGGGCUCGCGGCCUAUCAGCUUGUUGGUGGGGUGAUGGCCUACCAAGGCUUUGACGGGUAGCCGGCCUGAGAGGGUGACCGGUCACAUUGGGACUGAGAUACGGCCCAGACUCCUACGGGAGGCAGCAGUGGGGAAUAUUGCACAAUGGGCGCAAGCCUGAUGCAGCGACGCCGCGUGAGGGAUGGAGGCCUUCGGGUUGUGAACCUCUUUCGCUCAUGGUCAAGCCGCAACAAUGGUUGUGGUGAGGGUAGUGGGUAAAGAAGCGCCGGCUAACUACGUG